rnacentral:rRNA from 1 species
UACAGAGGUCUCAAGCGUUGUUCGGAUUCAUUGGGCGUAAAGGGUGUGUAGGUGGCGCGUAAGUCGGGUGUGAAAUUCGAUGCUUAACUCUGAAACUGCAUUCGAUACUGCGUGCUUGAGGACUGGAGAGGAGACUGGAAUUUACGGUGUAGCAGUGAAAUGCGUAGAUAUCGUAAGGAAGACCAGUGGCGAAGGCGGGUCUCUGGACAGUUCCUGACACUGAGACAGAAGGCCAGGGGAGCAAACGGG